GACGAACGCUGGCGGCGUGCUUAACACAUGCAAGUCGAACGGAAAGGCCCUGCUUUUGUGGGGUGCUCGAGUGGCGAACGGGUGAGUAACACGUGAGUAACCUGCCCUUGACUUUGGGAUAACUUCAGGAAACUGGGGCUAAUACCGGAUAGGAGCUCCUGCUGCAUGGUGGGGGUUGGAAAGUUUCGGCGGUUGGGGAUGGACUCGCGGCUUAUCAGCUUGUUGGUGGGGCAGUGACUUACCAAGGCUUUGACGGGUAGCCGGCCUGAGAGGGUGACCGGCCACAUUGGGACUGAGAUACGGCCCAGACUCCUACGGGAGGCAGCAGUGGGGAAUAUUGCACAAUGGGCGGAAGCCUGAUGCAGCAACGCCGCGUGCGGGAUGACGGCCUUCGGGUUGUAAACCGCUUUCGCCUGUGACGAAGCGUGAGUGACGGUAAUGGGUAAAGAAGCACCGGCUAACUACGUG
rnacentral:rRNA from 1 species